ensembl:lncRNA
GUCCUCACCUGCCGGGGCCGCCCUGGGCACCAGCUCGGCCAGUGUCACACCCCCUUUCCGCAGCGGAACUAGGCCACUGUGCUGCUGAGCCUGCUCUGGCUGUGCAGAUGGAGGGCCACUCCGGUUUGCCUGGGUUUCUGGUUUUAGCGCUGAAAGCCCCGUGUCCUAGGAGCACCCUCUGUGCCAGGGGCAAACUGGGGCAGUUCGUCACCCUGCCCUGGACCAGCUCGGGGAACACACUGCCUUAGCGCCUUGGACCAUUUACCAGCUUGUCUUUUUCACAAGAGAAAUAAACCUAUCUUUUUAAAGGUGCUGUUAUUUUGGUCUCUAUUAAAGUCUCUGAACCAGUACUCUGAGUGAGCGGUUCCAGUCGCUGGGAGGGCUGGCGAAGAGCACUGGGGCUCUGGGAGCAGAGUGGGCUGGGGAUCUGUGUCUCUAUCGCGCUCUGGCUGGUUGUGAUGGAACCCGAGGCUGAGAACCGCUGUCUUAGGUAGCAGACCUCAGCAAGAGGAAAAGAGUUAGAAGACAGGGAGGCACAGCCUCGAACCUGUGGCUUUCAGGGAUGUCCUGGGCUUGUGAUCCCCAGGGCAGCGGAGCCCAGAACAGAAACUGCCUGACUGUCAGCCCCUGUGUCCCCCCGCAUCCCUGCUCGAGCCCCUACUGCACGGACAGCCCUCUGGGGCUCGGGCCAGGCUACCUCCCCUUCUUCCACUUUGAAGGGUUCAGUUAAAUUGGGACCACCUGGAAAACCCCAGGUACUCGCCCUGUCUUAAGAUCAGCUGCUUGGCAACCUUAAUUGCAUGUGCCACCUUAAUUCCCUUUUGCCAUAUAAUGUAACUGAUGACAACAAUGAUAAUGCAAAAAAAUGAUAAGGUAAAACCGAGAUAUCUGCAUAAAAUCUUAUCAGCUGGCACCAGCAAUCGUGUGAGCACACACGAGAGUGAGAUUCCACAUGCCUUUGCUGUUGCGAAUGACCAUAGAGAGGGAAGGACAGGGGACUCUUCCUUACUUUCCCCACACCCUCGGUGACCUGGUGAGCCCUGUGAGAAAACAGCUCUGUCCCCUCUGGGUGCCCUCUGGGGCCAGCUGUGCCUGGCUCUCUGAUCAUCUGCUGUGGUUCUGAGAGGCUGCAGGGGCGGGGGUGGGGGACAUGGGUGGCAGAGGACACGUCCAUGAAAUCUUUCCUUGAGCCCUCCACUAUUUGGGCAUCAGCCUUCUCUCUAUUUUUUUUUUCGGUUUAUAGAGGUAUAGUUGACAUAUUGUAAGGUGAACAUAUUUAAAGGUACAAUUGAGACUUUUUUUGUGUGAGGAAGACUGUCCCUGAGCUAACAUCUGUUGCCAAUCUUCCUCUUUUUGCUUGAGGAAGAUUGUCACUGAGCUAACAUCUGUGCCACUCUUCCUGCAUUUUGUAUGUGGGAUGCUGCCACAGUGUGGCUUGAUGAGCAGUGCUAGGUCUGCGCCUGGGAUCCGAACUGGCGAACCCUGGGCUGCCGAAGCGGAGCAUGUGGACUUAACCACUACACUACUGAGCCGGCCCCCAAUUGAUGACUUUCGAUGUGCGCGUACAUCCAUGAAGCCAUCGCACGAUCAAGAUAACCAGCAGACCCCCCACCCCAAUGGGGUUCACUUGGCCUUGAGAUACGUUCCUCUUUUCCCCACCCCCAGAGUUUUCUGUAUUGGAAGGUUUUCAACUGCAAAUUCAAUAUCUUUGAUAGAUAUAGGACUAUUCAGGAUAUCUAUUUCUUCUUGAGUUAGUUUUAGUAGCUUGCAUCUUUCAAGGAGUUUGUUUACUUAGUCUAACUUGUCACAUUGUAUAAAGUUACGUGUAAUACUUCAUUAUUAUCCUUUUAACAUUUGUAGAGUCUGUGGCAAUAUCCCAUCUCUUAUUCUUAGUAUUGGUGAUUUGUGUUUUCUCUCUUUUUUCCUGAUCAGCCUGGCUAGAGGUUUAUAAUUCCUAUUGAUCAUCUGAAAGAACCAGCUUUUGAUUUGAUUAAUUUUCUCUAUUAUUUUUCUGUUUUCUGUGUCAUUGAUUUCCAGUCUGAUCUCUGUCAUUUCCCUUCUUCUCCUAACUUUGGGUUUUAUUUAUUUUGCUUUUCUGCUUUCUGCUUUUUUGUGUGUGUGUAUGAGGAAGAUUGGCCUUGAACUAAUAUCUGGGCCAAUCUUCCUCUAUUUUUUUGUAUGUGGGAUGCCACCACAGCAUGGCUUGAUGAGCAGUGUGUAGGUCUGUGCCCGGGAUCCAAACUCGUGAACCCUGGGCUCCUGAAGUGGAGCCGUAAACUUAACCACUACGCCAUUGGGCUAGCCCCAACUUUUCUGGUUUCUUAAGGUCAGGUGUCUACUGGCCACUUGAGAUUGUCCCAAGUUCUGCUCAUUGUUUAUAGUCUUGUUUUCUCUGUGUUUCUAUUUCUUUCUAAAGAAUUUCUUUUUCUGCAGUGCCUAAUUUGCUAUUAAUCCCAUCAGUGUAAUUUUCAUCCUGGACAUUAUAUUUGAUUGGGUCUGUUUUAUAUUAAGAAAGUUUCCGUAUUUCUACUUAAUGUAUUCAAGCUGUCCUAAAUCUUCCUGAACAUAUGAUAAAAUAUAGUUAUGAAAUAGUUUUCAUGUUCUUAUGUACUAAUUUUAUCAUCUGCAUCAUUUCUGGGUCUGUUUCUAUUGACUGAUUUUUCUCUGUGUUGUGCAGUUUUCUGUUUCUUUGCAUGCCUAGUAAUCUUUGAUUGGUUGCCAAACAUUGUGACUUUGACAUGGUUGGGCGCUGGGUAAUUUUGCAUCCUAUAAAUAUCUGUGGGCCUUGUUCUGGGACAUGGUUAAGCUACUUUUAGAGAGUUUGAUUGUUUUGAGGAUUGCUAAAGCUUUCUUAGGCAGGACCAGUUCAAUUUUUAUUCUAUUUUAUUCUAUUUCCCCAGCAAUGAGGCAAUCCUUGUGAGUGGUCUACCCCAGGCCUUGUGCAUGACGAGGCUUAUUCUUUGGUUGUGGGAACACACACCAUUCCCAGCAUGUUUUUUUAAAAAAGUUUUUUAAAAUUAUGGGAAAAAAUAUAUAACAUAAAAUGUACUCUUUUAACCAUUUUUAAGUGUACGGUUCUGUGGCAUUAAGCACACUCACAUUGCUGUGCAACCAUCACCACCAUCCAUCACCAGAACUCUGUUCAUUUGGCAAAACUGGAACUCUGUCCCCAUUGGACAGCAACUCUUCCUUGCCCCUCCCCCAGGCCCUGGCACCCGGCAUUCUACUUUCUGUCUCUGUGGAUUUGACUCCUGUGGGGCCUCAUGUGCGUGGAACCAGACAGGAUUUGUCCUUUUGUGACUAGUUCACUUCACUCAGCGUCACGUCCUGCAGGUUCAUCCAUGCUGUAGCAUUUGUCAGAAUUUCCUUCCUUUUUAAGGCUGAACAAUAUUCCAUUGUGUGGUUGGACUGGUUUGUUUAUCCUUUCAUCCAUCCGUGGACACUGGGGUUGCUCCCACUGUUUGGCUGCUGUGAGUAAUGCUGCUGUGAAUGUGGGUGUGCACAGUAUGAAAUGCAGACAGCUUCCAUCCUCUCCCCGGGCAGCUCCCCCUCUAGCCUCAGGGAGUUUCCUUCCUUUGUGGGUGAUCUGCCUUCAGCUAAAGACUCCAGGCGACCCUUGGUGGAGCUCCAGAGCCGUGGUCUGUGCAGCUCUCUUCUCUCCGAUGUCACCCUGUGGCCUCGAGCAGCCUCAGCUUCACCAGACUGUCUCCUGUGUGCAGGGACACCUGAGAGCUGCUCUGGGCUCCUGCUCCCUGUGCUGAGCCUGUCACCUCUCUCCAGGCAGGAGGCUGGGAAAUCACGGGGCUCACCUUAUUUGUGUCCUUUCUCCUGUCCUGCCCCAUUUCCAAUGUCUGUGAACUGUUGUUUCAUAUACAUUGUCCCUUUUAAGUUAUUUCUGGUGGGAGUGUGAAUCUGGUCCCUGUCCCUCUGUCUUGGCCCAUGGUGAAAACCCUCCCCUCUCCUCAUUACCCUGUGAUCCCUGUGUCCUACCUCCGCCUGUGCACUGUGGCUGCUCUUCUGCCACGGGCCUCUCCUGGAGGCAUUUCUGGCACCCUCAGGCACACCGGUGCUGUUAUAGAUAGACCCUGGUGGUCUCCGGCGUGCCCUCAUCUGGAGCUAGACCUCUGCUGGACUCCUCAUGCCCACCCCCGAUGUUGGAUGCUCCCGGGGGCUCAGAUGUACCAGCUGGCUCAGGGGUGGGGCAUGUGGUCCUCCAUCAGCACCAGCCUAAGUCCUCAUAUAGCACUUCACAGGCACACAGGACUUCCCUGAAGGCCUGGGUCAGCAGAAGUGCCACACAGGGAUGGCUGCCUCUGGGAGUGCCUCCUGGGUGAUGUCUAAGUGGCAGAGCCAGCCCAGUCCCUGCAGAGGGACCUCUCCAGGCACCUUCUCCCCCUCCCUCAAGACUCAUCCACCAGCCUGCCUUUAGCUCCGAGCCAAAUCUCACCCCACUCGCCCUCAUGCCUGAAGAGUAUUUUGGGAAGACACACAGGCCAAGGUGAUGCCCCAUGGCCGAGGCGACAUUUGGUCAUACGUUUUGCAAAAGUCUGGCUUGUUUAGUCUUUGCUUGCUCUUGUUUUGUAUAGUUCCACAGACAGCCAUGUAAGGAUUUCAUUUUCCUUGGAGCCUUUGGACCCCUAGCCCUUUGGUGGUGAUAUUAUCGUCCUCAGUUGCUUUCUUUGUAAUUUCCAUUGGGAUUUUCUCCAGAAUUAUGUUUUUAUUUUCACCUACAUUUCUAAACUGAAC